rnacentral:rRNA from 1 species
CAAGUCGAACGCGACUUGGGCUUCGGCCUAAGUUGAGUGGCGAACGGGUGAGUAACACGUGGGUGACCUACCUUCGAGUGGGGGAUAACGUCCCGAAAGGGACGCUAAUACCGCAUAACAUCCUGCCUUUGAACAGGUGGAGAUCAAAGCCGGGGAUCGCAAGACCUGGCGCUUGAUGAGGGGCCCGCGCCUGAUUAGCUAGUUGGUGGGCUAAUGGCCUACCAAGGCGACGAUCAGUAUCCGGCCUGAGAGGGCGGACGGACACACUGGGACUGAGACACGGCCCAGACUCCUACGGGAGGCAGCAGUGGGGAAUUGUUCGCAAUGGGCGCAAGCCUGACGACGCAACGCCGCGUGGAGGAUGAAGGUCUUCGGAUUGUAAACUCCUGUUGCUCGGGACGAAAAGCUUCGACCUAACACGUCGAAGUCUGACGGUACCGAGUGAGGAAGCCCCGGCUAACUCUGUGCCAGCAGCCGCGGUAAUACAGAGGGGGCAAGCGUUGUUCGGAAUUACUGGGCGUAAAGGGCGCGUAGGCGGCCUGCUAAGUCGAACGUGAAAUCCCUGGGCUCAACCCAGGAACUGCGUCCGAUACUGGUUGGCUUGAAUCCGGGAGAGGGAUGUGGAAUUCCAGGUGUAGCGGUGAAAUGCGUAGAUAUCUGGAGGAACACCGGUGGCGAAGGCGACAUCCUGGACCGGCAUUGACGCUGAGGCGCGAAAGCCAGGGGAGCAAACGGGAUUAGAUACCCCGGUAGUCCUGGCCCUAAACGAUGAAUGCUUGGUGUGGUGGGUAUCGAUCCCUACCGUGCC